CCCACUGUUCCUAGGCCAGUUAACCCACUGUUCCUAGACCAGUUAACCCACUGUUCCUAGACCAGUUAACCCACUGUUCCUAGACCAAUUAACCCACUGUUCCUUGACCAGUUAACGCACUGUUCCUAGGCCAGUUAACCCACUGUUCCUAGACCAGUUAACCCACUGUUCCUAGACCAGUUAACCCACUGUUCCUAGGCCAGUUAACCCACUGUUCCUAGACCAGUUAAUCCACUGUUCCUAGACCAGUUAACCCACUGUUCCUAGGUCUGUUCCUAGACCAGUUAACCCAAUGUUCCUAGGCCAGUUAACCCACUGUUCCUAGACCAGUUAACCCACUGUUCCUAGGCCAGUUAACCCACUGUUCCUAGGCCAGUUAACCCACUGUUCCUAGACCAGUUAACCCACUGUUCCUAGGCCAGUUAACCCACUGUUCCUAGACCAGUUAACCCACUGUUCCUAGGCCAGUUAACCCACUGUUCCUUGACCAGUUAACCCACUGUUCCUAGACCAGUUAAUCCACUGUUCCUAGACCAGUUAACCCACUGUUCCUAGGUCAUUGAAAAUAUGAAUUUGUUCUUAACCUUCUUGCCUCGUUAAAUAAAAGUUAAACAAAGGUCAAAUAAUGGUUAAAUAAAAACAAAUAAAACAAUAACAUUCUUAAAUGGAGGAAGUUUGGAACCACCAAGACUCUUCCUAGAGCUGGCCACCCGGCCAAACUGACCAAUCGGGGGAGAAGGGCCUUGGUCAGGGAGGUGACCAAGAACCCGAUUUUCACUCUGACAGAGCUCCACAGUUUAUCUGUGGAGAUGGGAGAACCUUCCAGAAGGACAACCAUCUCUGCAGCACUUCACCAAUCAGCCCUUUGUGGUAGAGUGGCCAGAUGGAAGCCACUCCUCAGUAAAAGGCACAUGACAGCCCGCUUGGAGUUUGCCAAAAGGCACCAAAAAGACUCUCAGAUCAUAAGAAACAAGAUUCUCUGGUCUGAUUAAACCAAGAUUGAACUCUUUGGCCUGAAUGCCAAGUGUCACGUCUGGAGGAAACAUGGCACCAUCCCUACCGUGAAGCAUGGUGGUG
ensembl:lncRNA